rnacentral:rRNA from 1 species
UACGUAGGGGGCUAGCGUUGUUCGGAAUCACUGGGCGUAAAGGGCGCGUAGGCGGCUUUUCAAGUCGGGGGUGAAAGCCUGUGGCUCAACCACAGAAUUGCCUUCGAUACUGUUAGGCUUGAGAUCGGAAGAGGUGAGUGGAACUGCGAGUGUAGAGGUGAAAUUCGUAGAUAUUCGCAAGAACACCAGUGGCGAAGGCGGCUCACUGGUCCGGUUCUGACGCUGAGGCGCGAAAGCGUGGGGAGCAAACAGG